ACAAAACAGGCAGAAAGCUUAAAUUUCUGCCGAUUUCGCGGUUAAAGUCUUGGGAGGAUCAGAUCUUAGGCGCGGUCAUUCGCAGCCCCUUAAUUGGUGAAAGGUCACGCGACAUUUCAAUAACAAGGUCUUCGGGCCUUGUUUUUUUUU
rnacentral:sRNA from 1 species